UGGUGCUCACACCCUCAGCGCUCCUCGGCAGCUCCUUCAGAGACCUGCUCAGCUGCUUGCCUUUGCUGUGGAACAUCUCACGCUUGUGGACAAGAUUUCUCUCUUGGGUAGGGUGGCUCUGUACCCAGAAGUGUGUCAGGAGUACUUGGAGGUCUGCUACCCUCCUCGUGUUCCAGGUCUUCAUUGCAUUGGAAGAGGAGACUAUAGUGUGAGAUGAAAACCCGGAGGCGCUGCACACACACCAGCAGCAGGCACUUAGAAUCCGAGAAAUCAACAGCAGAAAGGCUUUCCCUGCCAAACAUCAAUCCUUGGCAUUGACCAUCAGGUAUUGGACACUUCAGGAACACAGGUUUGUCCUCAUAUCUCAGCUGCAAGUAUGAAAAUGGAGUUUAAUAUUUUCGUACCUGGACCUGCUAUGACUUUCACACCUCCUUCUCCCAUUGGCAUGAUCCUGGUGUCAGACACUGUUGAAGAACAAAGGUUCUGGGAGGUUAAUGGAUCGAAAUGGGCUGCCCUGGAGAGGUGUUGGUACUGUCUGUGACCCAUGAUCAUCUUUCUGUGCUCUUCUGUACAAAUAGAGAACAAGACAGAUGGGAAGUAUGAAUGCUACAGGUGGAGUUCCUAUGCUACAGUUAUGGCAAACAUUACUGAAGGACGCUCCCUGGGCUGUGGUGCAGACAACCUUGUUGCAUCUGUGGUGUCUCAUAGCGGCAAGAAUGUCAACACAAAGAGUGGCCACAGAGCUCUGGAGGACCUGAUCACCCUGAGCCAAUGCUGACUCCAAGACAGGGUUUCCAAGCUCCUGGCUGGGAAGGCAGACAAAGACAUGCAGAAAGACUCAACACUCUGGCUGAUCUGGAUUAUCAGGCAAGAGCACCCCAUGGUCUGAGACGCUGUGAGGCUGCCAGGAUAACCCAAAGCCCCAUAGAAGACUUGGGCCCCUUCUGCAGAAGACACCCCUGCCCCAUGUCAAUCAACAGAUCCUUG